rnacentral:rRNA from 1 species
UACGUAGGUGGCGAGCGUUGUCCGGAUUUAUUGGGCGUAAAGCGCGCGCAGGUGGUGCGGUAAGUCUGUCGUGAAAUCUCCCGGCUCAACUGGGAGGGUGCGGUGGAGACUGCCGGACUGGAGGCACUCAGAGGCCGGUGGAAUUCCCGGUGUAGUGGUGAAAUGCGUAGAGAUCGGGAGGAACACCAGUGGCGAAGGCGGCCGGCUGGGGGUGACCUGACGCGUGAGGCGCGAAAGGCGUGGGGAGUGAACCGG